GACGAACGCUGGCGGCGUGCUUAACACAUGCAAGUCGAACGGAAAGUCCCUGCUUGCAGGGUACUCGAUUGGCGAACGGUUGAGUAACGCGUUUGUGAUCUGCCCUGCACUUCGGGAUAAGCGUGUGAAACUGGGUCUAAUACCGGAUAGGAGCCUUCUUUAGUUUGGUUGGUGGAAAGUUGUUUCGGUGUAUGAUUAGCUCGCGGCCUAUCAGCGUGUUGGUGGGGUAAUGGCCUAGCAAGGCUGCGACGGGUAACCGGCCUGAGAGUGUGUACGGACACAAGGGGCAUGGGGACAGGCACAGACCCCAAAGGGAGGCAGGAGUGAGGAAUAGUGAAUAAUGGGCAAAAGCCUGAAGCAGGGACGAGGAGUGGGGGAUGAAGGACUUAGGGUUGAAAAUUGCUUAGGCCAGGGACGCAGGAUUAUAGUGACGGUACCUAGAUAAGAAGCACCGGCUAACUACGUG
rnacentral:rRNA from 1 species